rnacentral:rRNA from 1 species
AUUGAACGCUGGCGGCAGGCCUAACACAUGCAAGUCGAGCGAGCGGCGGACGGGUGAGUAAUGUCUGGGAAACUGCCUGAUGGAGGGGGAUAACUACUGGAAACGGUAGCUACUACCGCAUACCAUCAGAUGUGCCCAGAUGGGAUUAGCUGGUAGGUGGGGUAACGGCUCAACUAGGCGACGAUCCCUAGCUGGUCUGAGAGGAGUACCAGCCACACUGGAACUGAGACACGGUCCAGACUCCUACGGGAGGCAGAGGUGGGGAAUAUUGCACAAUGGGCGCAAGCCUGAUGCAGCCAUGCCGCGUGUAUGAAGAAGGCCGUCGGGUUGUAAAGUAGUUUCAGCGGGGAGGCGUUACCCGCAGAAGAAGCACCGGCUAACUCCGGGCCAGCAGCCGCGGUAAUC